rnacentral:rRNA from 1 species
GAUGAACGCUAGCGGCAGGCCUAAUACAUGCAAGGCGAAGGGGCAGCAAUGUCACUGUCGUACGGGUGCGUAACGCGUAUGCAACCUACCUAUCACAGGGGAAUAGCCUUUGGAAACAGGGAUUAAUACCGCAUAAAGCAGGGACACCGCAUGGUGAUAUUGCUAAAGAUUUAUCGGUGAUAGAUGGGCAUGCGUCUGAUUAGUUAGUUGGCAGGGUAACGCCUACCAAGACGAUGAUCAGUAGGGGGCGUCAGAGCGUGGUUCCCCACACUGGCACUGAGAUACGGGCCAAGACUCCUACGGGGAGGCAGCAGUAGGGAAUAUUCGGGGCAAUGGAUGCAAGUCUGACCCAGCCAUG